AUUGAACGCUGGCGGCAGGCCUAACACAUGCAAGUCGAACGCGUGGCGGACGGGUGAAUAAUGUCUGGGACACUGCCUGAUGGGGGGGGAUAACUACUGGAAACGGUAGCUAAUACCGCAUACAAUCAGAUGUGCCCAGAUGGGUUUGGCUCAUGGGUGGGGUAACGGCUCACCAAGGCCGAGAUCCCUAGCUGGUCUGAGAGGAUGACCAGCCACACUGGAACUGAGACACGGUCCAGACUCCUACGGGAGGCAGCAGUGGGGAAUAUUGCACAAUGGGCGCAAGCCUGAUGCAGCCAUGCCGCGUGUAUGAAGAAGGCCUUCGGGUUGUAAAGUACUUUCAGCGGGGAGGCGUUACCCGCAGAAGAAGCACCGGCUAACUCCGUGCCAGCAGCCGCGGUAAUUC
rnacentral:rRNA from 1 species